AAAAAAAAAAAAAAAAAAAAAAAAAAAAAAAAAAAAAAAAAAAAAAAAAAAAAAAAAAAAAAAAAAAAAAAAAAAAAAAAAAAAAAAAAAAAAAAAAAAAAAAAAAAAAAAAAAAAAAAAAAAAAAAAAAAAAAAAAAAAAAAAAAAAAAAAAAAAAAAAAAAAAAAAAAAAAAAAAAAAAAAAAAAAAAAAAAAAAAAAAAAAAAAAAAAAAAAAAAAAAAAAAAAAAAAAAAAAAAAAAAAAAAAAAAAAAAAAAAAAAAAAAAAAAAAAAAAA
rnacentral:misc_RNA from 1 species